AUAAGAGGUCCAGCCUGCCCGGUGACAAAGUUUAACGGCCGCGGUAACCUAACCGCGCGAAGGUAGCAUAAUCACUUGUUCUUUAAAUGGGGGCCAGUAUCAACGGCAUCACGAGGGUUACACUGUCUCCUCCCUCCAAUCAGUGAAACUGAUCUCCCCGUGAAAAAGCGGGGAUACAGAUAUUAGACGAGAAGACCCCAUGGAGCUUUAAACCCAACAGCAACUCAGUACCAUAACCCCCCAUAGCUCACAGAGAAAUGCACGUCGGUUUUAGGUUGGGGUGACCGCGGAGUAAAAACUAACCUCCACGACGAAAAGAACUAAAUCUUUAUCUAAGAACUACCGCUCUAAGAAUUAGUAUACUAACGAACAAUGACCCAAUAAUUGAUCAACGAAACAAGUUACCCUGGGGAUAACAGCGCAAUCUACUUCAAGAGCCCAUAUCGACAAGUAGGCUUACGACCUCGAUGUUGGAUCAGGGUAUCCCAGUGGUGCAGCCGCUACUGAAGGUUCGUUU
rnacentral:rRNA from 1 species